CAGUCGCCGCGGGAAUACGUAGGUGGCAAGCGUUGUCCGGAAUUAUUGGGCGUAAAGGGCUCGCAGGCGGUUUCUUAGGUCUGAUGUGAAAGCCCCCGGCUCAACCGGGGAGGGUCAUUGGAAACUGGGAAACUUGAGUGCAGAAGAGGAGAGUGGAAUUCCACGUGUAGCGGUGAAAUGCGUAGAGAUGUGGAGGAACACCAGUGGCGAAGGCGACUCUCUGGUCUGUAACUGACGCUGAGGAGCGAAAGCGUGGGGAGCGAACAGGAUUAGAUACCCCAGUAGUCCCUGUCUCUGAUAA
rnacentral:rRNA from 1 species